rfam:Gossypium hirsutum cultivar TM-1 chromosome 19, whole genome shotgun sequence
UUUUAAAAAUUUCAUUCAUUUCUAUUGUUAAAAAUUAACGUGACUAACGAAAUAGCCAGACAGUUACACGUGACAUGUUACGUGUACCUUAUGCUUAUAUACAUGGACUAGUUUUUAACGGUAGAAAUGGAUGCAAUUUUCAAUA